CAGGGAAACCAUCCCAUCCAAUCAACGCACGAUCAUAUCCGAAAUCGACCGUUCAUUGUCAUUUUGGUGUGACCCACCCCCUGCAUUCAUUUGAAACGACUGAACUCAACUCUUGGUGUGACCCACCUGCCACAACCGGUCACACGACGAAGUGCCGCCUCACGUUUUGGCUUUUCCUAUGUUCACAAUAUGAUGCGAUUUUUAUUUAUUAGAGUCAAUAAUUUAAAUUUAAAUUAAAUAUAUACAAAAACACUAACAAUUAUCAUCUUCAUUCCAAAAUAAAUGCAC
rnacentral:lncRNA from 7 species